GGGGAUGUAGCUCAGCGGGAGAGCGCUUGCUUUGCAUGUAAGAGGCCCUGGGUUCAACCCCCAGCAUCUCCA
rfam:Nipponia nippon contig17881, whole genome shotgun sequence.